rnacentral:rRNA from 1 species
GAUGCAGCGACGCCGCGUGAGUGAAGAAGUGAUUUCGGAUGUAAAGCUCUAUCAGCAGGGAAGAAGAUGACGGUACCUGAGUAAGAAGCCCCGGCUAACUACGUGCCAGCAGCCGCGGUAAUACGUAGGGGGCAAGCGUUAUCCGGAUUUACUGGGUGUAAAGGGAGCGCAGACGGCAGCGUAAGUCUGAAGUGAAAGCCCGCGGCUUAACCGCGGGACUGCUUUGGAAACUACGCGGCUUGAGUGUCGGAGGGGCAGGCGGGAUUCCUGGUGUAGCGGUGAAAUGCGUAGAUAUCAGGAAGAACACCGGUGGCGAAGGCGGCCUGCUGGACGACAACUGACGUUGAGGCUCGAAGGCGUGGGGAGCGAACAGGAUUAGAUACCCUGGUAGUCCACGCGGUAAACGAUGAAUACUAGGUGUCGGCGCCCAAAGGGAGUCGGUGCCGUCGCAAACGCAGUAAGUAUUCCACCUGGGGAGUACGUGCGCAAGAAUGAAACUCAAAGGAAUUGACGGGGACCCGCACAAGCAGUGGAGCAUGUGGUUUAAUUCGAAGCAACGCGAAGAACCUACCAGUCUGACAUCCGCGACGAUCCGCACGGAUUCUCUCGAGCACGAUACGGUGUGCAUGGUG